rnacentral:tRNA from 1 species
UAGACUAGAGCCUGGUACUAGGUGUUUGGUUGUUAACCAAGAGGUUGUAGGAUAGAAGCCUACUAGUUUAG